rnacentral:piRNA from 1 species
UAUGCUAAUGUCCUGCUCCUGU